rnacentral:tRNA from 1 species
GGGCCCAUAGCUCAGUUGGUAGAGCCACCGGCUCAUAACCGGUUGGUCGUUGGUUCGAGUCCAACUGGGCCCACCA